UGAGGAAUAUUGGACAAUGGGCGCAAGCCUGAUCCAGCAAUGCCGCGUGCAGGAUGAAGGCCUUCGGGUUGUAAACUGCUUUUGUACGGAGCGAAAAGGUCUGCCCUAAUACGGUGGGCUCAUGACGGUACCGUAAGAAUAAGCACCGGCUAACUACGUGCCAGCAGCCGCGGUAAUACGUAGGGUGCGAGCGUUAAUCGGAAUUACUGGGCGUAAAGCGUGCGCAGGCGGUUAUAUAAGACAGAUGUGAAAUCCCCGGGCUCAACCUGGGACCUGCAUUUGUGACUGUAUAGCUAGAGUACGGUAGAGGGGGAUGGAAUUCCGCGUGUAGCAGUGAAAUGCGUAGAUAUGCGGAGGAACACCGAUGGCGAAGGCAAUCCCCUGGACCUGUGCUGACGCUCAUGCACGAAAGCGUGGGGAGCAAACA
rnacentral:rRNA from 1 species